AAGGGCACUUACAUUGUAAUAACAUGCGUUAUGGGUCGUUAUCCGUCAGUCAUAGCCUAUGUAUAAUAUCCAGAGUCAUUUAAAUAUGUGUGUGUGUUUAAACACAUGUGAUGUCUGAAAAACAGUUCAGCAUAUAAUAUCCCAAUUAGACCGUUUUGUGCUAUGCCUUUAUUGUGCGUUAAAGUCUAGUCCAUAUGCUACUCUCUUAAAAAAUAAAGUAGAUAAAUAAAAAUAAAAAUUCCCAACAAUUCCUUUAUAUGCAUUGUCCUGGUAGGCUAUUUUAAUGCGUAAACGGCGACAUGUAAACACAGGGACCAGCCGACUGUCAUUAUCAUUAUCGAUGCAAGACACACGUGCAGAGAAGAACCACGGAGCUUUUUUUUCUUUUUUUUUUGCGUACAUAAACAAUGAUCAAAGAUGGAGCGUGUCUCUUUUCGGAUGCCUCAAAUAUAGCCCACUGUGAUGCAGUCUCCAUGGCGACGGUCGUUUCCUCGGUAACCCCCCAGUCACGGUUACCAUGGCACCCUUGUUUCCACAGUAACAUCCCAGAUUGCUUGGAAGCAAUAUUGAAGAUUUUCAUCUUAAUGGGUUGUCUUCGGUCCGUAAUAAGGAUGUUUGGACAUCAUCCUUUGCGUGCAUAAAAAUACAAGCCCAAAUGCUCCCAUUACAGCGCCACCAGCUAAUCAGCAAGUUCCCCCAGUGACUUUAGUAAUGACACAAAAAGAAAUCCUAGCAAGGAGGUCUGUUAAUUACAACAGUGAACAGUCCUACAAAAGAUACAGGCACAAUACAGAUGGCUGCCAAGCCAGGAGAGGCCAAAGGAGCGGCGUCGCGUAAGGAAAUUGUGAAUGGACUGGGAGCGCAUUGUCUGGCUGUCCUGAGUGCGCUACUGUCGGCGCUCAGCAGAGGCUGCUGUUCUCCCACUGACAAAACUGGUGAACCCCUUUUCUGCUCAGACCUCCCGAAACCUGCAAUGACACCAAUUAGACUGCCUUCCAUUUAGGGGCGCAGUGACUCUGGUCUUCCUGUGGGGCCAGAUUGGCCAAGUUAUCAAUUGAGACAGAAAUCCCUCUGGAUUCAUUCAUCCUGCCCUGCCUUCUUGCUCAUGGCCAGUGCCCUCAAACCUGGAUUAACAAGUGGUGCCUACUAAUCACCCCGCCCCUUUCCAACGGACCACAGCUCAUUCCAAAAUGCAACAAAAUACAAUUUUGACAAGCAUAUAACGGACACUCAACGUACAGUUUUGUAGCUGCAGUUUUAAAGCUGCUUCUGUUCUGGAGUUAAUGCACUGUGAAUGGAACCAUCACAGGAUCGGAAGUGGUUCAGACAGUGACAGAAUUCAGCUGGAAUGGACUCUGACAUUUCUCCACACUGCUUUCUAUAUACACUUCAAAAGGAUAGAUGCAGGAAACAGAAAGCAAUUUUGCAAAGCACAUUUCACUUUACUGGAACAUACAAGGAGUUAUACAUUCUGUAUUCACCUUUCUGGGAAGUGAUAUUCAUCAUGGACGACAACCACCCAACAUUAAGACAGAAUUAGCAAAAGCCAAGGCCAUCCAUGAUUUACUGCUAUAAAACUGUGAUACAAAUCAAAGACUGUUAGUCAUUUGCCUUUGUUAGCUCUGUGUGCUCUGUAUUUGUAAUAUGUAAAACAAACGCAUAUGUACACGUGCUGGUUGCUGCUAUUCCCUUGACAUAUGGGUGGAGGACAAUACAAAGGCAUUCGCGCAGAUGCAAACACAGACACAUGCAGCACAUACACAUGCCUUUGGAUGGAUUUCUCCUUCCCAGAGUGCACUCUUGAUUUAUGGGAAAGGGCAAAAUGUUGUUAGGGGAAGGUUGUGGUUCCAGUAUUUGUUCUGUGUUAUUUUUGUGCUGUCUUAAACAUGACCCAUGUAAAGAGAGUCUGAGUUGUAUUGUCUUGAUUGUCUUAUUUUAUUUGUAUGUUUGUUUGUUUUUGAGAGAGCGAGAGAGAGAGAGAGAGAGAGAGGAGAAAAGUAGCCAAAUUGUAAAGGAAAUGGUACUCAUUUACAGUUGCAGGGAAAAGAUGUACUUCCCCCUUACUGAUACGCAAUGUUGGCUCAUUUUCCUCAAUAAAUUAAUGAACAAGUUUUA